rfam:Ixodes scapularis strain Wikel colony gcontig_1108379791842, whole genome shotgun sequence.
GCCGGGAUGGUCUAAUCGGUUAAGGCGUCGCCCCGGACAGGCAAAGGUUGCGGGCUCAAUCCCCGCUCCUGGCC